UACGGGGGGGGGCAAGCGUUGUUCGGAAUUACUGGGCGUAAAGGGCUCGUAGGCGGCCAACUAAGUCAGACAUGAAAUCCCUCGGCUUAACCGGGGAACUGCGUCUGAUACUGGAUGGCUUGAGUUCGGGAGAGGGAUGUGGAAUUCCAGGUGUAGCGGUGAAAUGCGUAGAUAUCUGGAGGAACACCGGUGGCGAAGGCGGCGAUCCUGGACCGACACUGGACGCUCAUGCAC
rnacentral:rRNA from 1 species